rnacentral:rRNA from 1 species
CCUACGGGAGGCAGCAGUGAGGAAUAUUGGUCAAUGGGCGGGAGCCUGAACCAGCCAAGUCGCGUGAGGGAAGACGGUCCUAUGGAUUGUAAACCUCUUUAGGCGGGGAGCAAUGCCGGGCACGCGUGCCCGGAGGGAGAGUACCCGCAGAAUAAGCAUCGGCUAACUCCGUGCCAGCAGCCGCGGUAAUACGGAGGAUGCGAGCGUUAUCCGGAUUUAUUGGGUUUAAAGGGAGCGUAGGUGGAUUGUUAAGUCAGUUGUGAAAGUUUGCGGCUCAACCGUAAAAUUGCAGUUGAAACUGGCAGUCUUGAGUACAGUAGAGGUGGGCGGAAUUCGUGGUGUAGCGGUGAAAUGCUUAGAUAUCACGAAGAACUCCGAUUGCGAAGGCAGUUCACUGGACUGCAACUGACACUGAGGCUCGAAAGUGUGGGUAUCAAACAGGAUUAGAUACCCCUGUAGUC